GCCUGAACAUAGCUCAGUCAGUAGAGCAUGAGACUCUUAAUCCCAAGGUUGUGGGUUCAAGCCCCACGUUGGGCA